rnacentral:misc_RNA from 1 species
AACCAGGUCUGCCUCUGUCAG